AUUGAACGCUGGCGGCGUGCCUAACACAUGCAAGUCGAGCGGUAACAGGUGUAGCAAUACAUGCUGACGAGCGGCGAACGGGUGAGUAAUGCUUUGGAAUCUUCCCAGUAGUGGGGAAUAACCAGUCGAAAGGUUGGCUAAUACCGCAUACGUCUGUAAAGGGAAAGCGGGGGCUCGUAAAGACCUCGCGCUAUUGGAUGAGCCAAAGUCGGAUUAGCUAGUUGGUGGGGAAUGGCCUACCAAGGCGACAAUCCGUAGCUGGUCUGAGAGGACGACCAGCCACACCGGAACUGAGACACGGUCCGGACUCCGUACGGGAGGCAGCAGUGGGGAAUAUUGGACAAUGGGGGAAACCCUGAUCCAGCGACGCCGCGUGUGUGAAGAAGGCCUGCGGGUUG
rnacentral:rRNA from 1 species